rnacentral:rRNA from 1 species
UACGAAGGGGGCUAGCGUUGUUCGGAAUUACUGGGCGUAAAGCGCACGUAGGCGGACAUUUAAGUCAGGGGUGAAAUCCCAGAGCUCAACUCUGGAACUGCCUUUGAUACUGGGUGUCUUGAGUAUGGAAGAGGUGAGUGGAAUUCCGAGUGUAGAGGUGAAAUUCGUAGAUAUUCGGAGGAACACCAGUGGCGAAGGCGCUGCACUGGUCCGAU